rnacentral:rRNA from 1 species
UCGGGAAUAUUGCGCAAUGGAGGAAACUCUGACGCAGUGACGCCGCGUAUAGGAAGAAGGUCUUCGGAUUGUAAACUAUUGUCGUUAGGGAAGAAAAAGGACAGUACCUAAGGAGGAAGCUCCGGCUAACUACGUGCCAGCAGCCGCGGUAAUACGUAGGGAGCGAGCGUUAUCCGGAUUUAUUGGGUGUAAAGGGUGCGUAGACGGGUUAGCAAGUUAGUUGUGAAAUCCCUCGGCUCAACUGAGGAACUGCAACUAAAACUGUUAAUCUUGAGUGCAGGAGAGGAAAGCGGAAUUCCUAGUGUAGCGGUGAAAUGCGUAGAUAUUAGGAGGAACACCAGUGGCGAAGGCGGCUUUCUGGACUGUAACUGACGUUGAGGCACGAAAGUGUGGGGAGCAAACA